rnacentral:rRNA from 1 species
AUACGGAGGGUGCAAGCGUUAAUCGGAAUUACUGGGCGUAAAGCGCACGCAGGCGGUCAAUUAAGUCAGAUGUGAAAGCCCCGAGCUUAACUUGGGAAUUGCAUCUGAAACUGGUUGGCUAGAGUCUUGUAGAGGGGGGUAGAAUUCCACGUGUAGCGGUGAAAUGCGUAGAGAUGUGGAGGAAUACCGGUGGCGAAGGCGGCCCCCUGGACAAAGACUGACGCUCAGGUGCGAAAGCGUGGGGAGCAAACAGGAUUAGAUACCCUGGUAGUCCACGCUGUUAACGAUGUCGAUUUAGAGGUUGUGGUCUUGAACCGUGGCUUCUGGAGCUAACGCGUUAAAUCGACCGCCUGGGGAGUACGGCCGCAAGGUUAAAACUCAAAUGCAGCUCCCAGGUUAAGCC